rnacentral:rRNA from 1 species
UACGUAGGGGGCAAGCGUUGUCCGGAAUCAUUGGGCGUAAAGCGCGUGUAGGCGGCUCGAUAAGUCUGCUGUGAAAGUCCAAGGCUCAACCUUGGGAUGCCGGUGGAUACUGUCGAGCUCGAGUCCGGAAGAGGAGUGUGGAAUUCCUGGUGUAGCGGUGAAAUGCGCAGAUAUCUAAGGGAACGCCUGUGGCGAAAGCGGGUGACUGGGCCUGUCCUGACGCUGAGACGCGAAAGCGUAGGGAGCAAACGGG